AUAAUACCUGACGGGAGAUACUGUGAUCAGAAAGGUGGUUUUCCAAGGGCAAGGCUUAUUCAUUAGACUUUGGAUGUCUGGGCCCCUGCGAUUUACCCAAAUGUGGAAAGUUUGUGGUAGUGAAGGGCUAUGUGCUCUCCCACUAA
rnacentral:snRNA from 1 species